rnacentral:SRP_RNA from 1 species
CCGUGCUAGGCGGGGAGGUAGCGGUGCCCUGAACUCGCAAUCCGCUAUAGCGGGGCUGAAUUCCUGCUCUGAGGUGUAGUCAUCUCAUGGUCUGCCGUAAGCAACCGGUGCUGACACCCGGGUCCUGCGCAACGGGAACCCGUGAACCCUGUCAGGUCCGGAAGGAAGCAGCAGUAAGCGGUCAUUCUCGUGUGCCGCAGGGCAGCCUGGGUCGAGCCGUGAGCUUAUGUAACGCUUGAGGUGACUCCAUCGAAGGCAGGUGCACGG